GUGUCAGCAGCCGCGGUAAUACGAGGGGUGCAAGCGUUAAUCGGAAUAACUGGGCGUAAAGCGCACGCAGGCGGUUUGUUAAGCCAGAUGUGAAAGCCCCGAGCUCAACUCGGGAACUGCAUUUGGAACUGGCAAACUAGAGUCUUGUAGAGGGGGGUAGAAUUUCCAGUGUAGCGGUGAAAUGCGUAGAGAUUGGAAGGAAUACCAGUGGCGAAGGCGGCCCCCUGGACAAAGACUGACGCUCAAGUGCGAAAGCGUGGGGAGCAAACAGGAUUAGAAACCCUGGUAGUCC
rnacentral:rRNA from 1 species